GGUUCCGUGACGACGGCUGCAGCAUCCGUUGAGAAGUCUUCUGUGUACUGAGCUUUUAGAGAGUGAAGUAAGCGUUGUUUCGGAAAUGUUAGGCGAUUUUCGAAGUCAAGUACGAGCCAGAAAUAUAACAGCAGUAUUAUUUAUCGGUGCAAAUAUCGCAAAAGUGAAGUGGAAGUUGCCUUGUCUUCAAGGAGAACUAAUUCGGCAUGAAAAGACAAGUAGUAAAUGCUACGGUGUGGUGAGUAUUUGAAAAUACAAAGAAGUAGCUUGAUGAAGACGGAAUUCCUCCUCCCCCAGUUGGAGGAAAAGAUGACAGACCAAUAAGGAGCUGGAACAGGCCCUAACGGCUUAAGUCCAGGUGUUACGCAUAGUGUGCCAUGGAGAACCACUGAAGUUCUUGUCUGCUUGACCAGACGCGUAGAGUGGAGUGUAAAAAUAUGUGGUUAUCAGUAAGAUCUGAUUUUAAGAACAUGAAACUAUUCCGCCUGCAAGUCUGCGUGACCAAGUUGAUGAGAGUGAACUUUCAGAUAGUAAAAAGAAAAUUGUAUGAUUUGGAAUACACGUUCGUGUGUUGCAGAGUGCAUGAAAAACAUAGCCUACUAUGGACCUGUUCACCUUACCUAAAGGAGGAAAAGGAGGAAAUGCCAUCAAGGAGGGAUAACAGGAGAAAGCUGUGCAUUAAUAAAUUACAGUGACAUUGUAGUAAUUCAGUCAGGAUUUCCUAAAUUCUUUAUAGUGAUCCCAAACUGAUCAACAAGCAACAAUGGAAAUUCCACACAAUUUCUAAGGGGAUGUUGUAAAGUGAAGAUGCAGUGGGGGAGUGUCUUAGCUGUAGUUGUUGCACUACAGUAAAUGGUUUCCAAUGAACAAGGACGACAGAUGACUGGAAAAAUAUUAUUUGAAAUUCCAGAGUUCAAGGAAGUUCUGCAACAGUUCCCCAUUGCACACUAACGUGUGGUAUACAUAUGAGGCAUGUGCUAGAAUUCUGAAAACGGAACACAUAGUGGAAUUCAUAACCUUGAUGUGGAUGAUGCUGGAAGCCGAAGCGAAGAAACCAUCCCUGAAGCUCUUCACAUACCUGGUAACGAGUAUCCUAUCAUCACUGGGAGAAGACGAUGGAGCUUUGUUAACGUGCUAGAAUAUAACCAUGGACUUCCUACUCAUGUUCCCAUGGUUUACAGGAUUUAUUAAAUUAUGUGAGGUCUCUAUCAGGUGGUACUACAGUGUCGUCACAGAAAGACCGGGAGAUGCUGACAUCUUGCAUAGCAAACUUACUGAGUUCUCAAAGAGAUAUCCUGGAGAAAUUCUCUUCUGGAGAGAAGACGGAGACCACUUCCACGUCAUUCAUGACUGUGUCCAUUCCUCGAGGAGAUGCAGAUGUUGGUUCCGAAAUGAUGCAUUUAUUUCCUCCAGAAUUAAGAAGCUCCACAGAUGGAAAAGAGCAAUUGCAGCAAUGUCAUAUAUUGACUGGCUCAAUGUACUGUUACACCUCUAUGUGCAAAAGGGGUAUGGCCGCAGACAAAUUUGGAUUAGAGGAGCCAUUAAAAGACUACCUUAUCCAGCUGAAAUUGUAUAAUGGGAAAGUUGCCUCUCAGGAUACCAAACAAUACUGGAAGGGGAAAGUAGUCGAUCUGAUGGUGACAGCGAACAGAGGCAUGCAAAUAAUGCACCAUGUAAACAGUCUCAUUCGAGACGCAAAUAGAUCAUUACAGGAUAAGGGUGCAACCCGACAAUCGCGCGCCAGGUCCUUUCUGUACUAAUUCAGUACAAUUGUAUACCACCUGAGAACAUUACAAAUGUGCUUCCAAUUGAUCAUGGUUACUUCAUGAAUUUUAUUGAUCCUAAAUUUAAAAGAUUUUUUGAUAUGGGAUUAGAGUUAUACAAGAAAACCAUUAACAAUUUAGAUCUUAGGGAAAUUGAAUCACUUUUAUGUUCUGGAUCACAGGAUAGUAUAUUUUAUGCUACCUCUAACAGCGUAUGGGAAUGUUGUUAUACUUUGGGCGAUUCUUUAACCUGGUUAAACAAAAUUCUAUUAUUCCAAUGUGAAGAUGACAAUGAUAAAGUUACAGAAUUUUUGUUAAAUUUAGUUUCAUGGUUCAAUAAGAAUGGAUUGUAUUACUGGAGUAAUGAUAAUUAUGUACAGUCAAAAAAGUUAAACACUUUGUGUAUUGUGGGUCCUCCAGAUAGUGGUAAAAAUUGGUUCUUUGAUUGCUUUGUAUCUUUCGCUCUUAAUGUUGGUCAUAUAGGUAGAUGUAAUAACAAAACAAAUCAAUUCGCAAUGCAAGAUGCUGUUAAUAGAAGAUUAAUUGUUGGCAAUGAAAUUAGUAUUGAAGAAGGAGCCUUAGAAGAUUUUAAAAAAGUGUGCGAGGGAAUUUCUUGUAACAUUAGAGUGAAGUAUAAAGGCGAUGCAAUUUUAAGGAGGACACCACUUUUAUUAAUUUCAAACCGUCAACCUGUAGUUUGCAGCCACCCUGAUUUUAAGGAUAUUCGUGUGAAAACCGUAAGGUGGCAUAGAUUUGAAAAAUGCAACAAAAAAGCCUUAUCCCUUAGCUUUUUUCAGCUUAUUACAAAUGUAUAAUGUGGAAUAUUAAAUG